rnacentral:rRNA from 1 species
GACGAACGCUGGCGGCGUGCUUCAUACAUGCAAGUCGAACGAGGUCCAACUGGUAGCAAUACCGGUGAAGACCUAGUGGCGAACGGGUGAGUAACACGUGAGGAACCUGCCCCGAAGACCGGGAUAACAGUGGGAAACCGCUGCUAAUACCGGAUACCCCCACCGGAUCGCAUGGUCUGGUGAGGAAAUGGAUUCCGCUUCGGGAGGGCCUCGCGGCCUAUCAGCUUGUUGGUGGGGUAANGGCCUACCAAGGCGACGACGGGUAGCUGGUCUGAGAGGACGAUCAGCCACACUGGGACUGAGACACGGCCCAGACUCCUACGGGAGGCAGCAGUAGGGAAUCUUGCGCAAUGGGCGAAAGCCUGACGCAGCAACGCCGCGUGAGGGAUGAAUGCCUUCGGGUUGUAAACCUCUUUCAAGACAGGGACGAUAAUGACGGUACCUGCAGAAGAAGCUCCGGCC